UUCUACGGUCAUAUCACCCUGAACACGCCCGAUCUCAUCUGAUCUCAGAAGCUAAGCAGUGUCGGGUCUGGUUAGUACUUGGAUGGGAGCCAAGCCUAUGUUUUUGUGUGUC
rnacentral:rRNA from 1 species